CAAAGAAGCCCCUUUAUUCGCCGACUUCCAUUGCGUGUGUAUGUAGCAUUUCUGCUACUUAUUGUUAGCUUUUUUUUUUGACACAGUUACUUAUAAUGUAUCUAAUACUUAGACGUUGAAGAAGAUAUUUCCAACUUCAUGGUUUUUGUAAUUAUAUUUUUAGUAAGUGGAUUAUUUGAUUUACUGCUAUGGUUGAAUACUAAAGCAAUUUGAGAGGAUCACUUCUGCCAAUGCUAGAGCCAUUAGUAUCAAGUGGACCAUAUCAAGUGGACCACUUCUCAUGUUAUACUCCAAAAUUCCUUCAAGUAGUUAUUGUUUCAAUUAAUUGGAAACGCUAUCAUAUAUUCUUGUACAUACCCAUUGCACAUAUGGAUUAAUUGUGGUGGACUAUACUGCCGUGUUUGUUUUCCGGCUCUUGAUGUUUGUCGAUAAUGGGUUUGCUGCAAGAAUGAGUUUUUAAUCAUCUGCAGCUGCCUGAAGAGGAGCAGAAAUGGGGAUUUCUUAUCUGGUUACUUUUUAGCUACUAUGGACUUCUUUGCAUUGCUUGCAUGUCAGUGGGGAUGGUUUGUGCUGAUGCUUUAUUAACCAUUAGAUAUUUCUUUGAGUUAUUACCAUUUCACAAUCUCUUUUCACUCCAUUUGAUGUGCUAUUCUUGUUCUUAACAACUUAUAAACAUAGAAUAUCUGCAAAAAAAUAUUAUUCAUCUUCAUUAUUUCAUAUCUAGAUUGUUGCAGGAAUCAUUUUGGCUUAACCCCUUGCAGCGGUUGACUUGACGACAAGCACACCCAGUGCGUUCCCAACAGGGUAUCCAUGUGUCUGAAUAUGGGGUAAGUUUGACUUUAUUGCAAUAUAUUUAGAAGUUUUAGUAACAUAUGUCAUGAAAAUUGUAAUCUUAGGACAUGUUAUUGAAUCUUGCUUAUCAGCUGAUGCCAUCAUAUUUGAUAAGUGAUAAUACAAUAUUAGAGUAUGAGUCUAUGUUGCUCUGUUUUCAUUUUAGUCUUGUUUUGAUUUUGUCAACCUUGCCAUGAUAGUUUCCACUUAAAUGCUCAAGACCAAUUUGUUUUUUUCCUCGAAGUAUUUUGAUGAAUACAAAUGUGGUGCAUACUCUAAGGAUGAGUUAGAUGAAGUGAAGGACGAAUGGACGAAAUAUAUGUUCACAAAUGUUAUCCCCAUGGGAAGUUGGAUAAUGUAACCGAAUAAGAAGAGUCGAGCGAUGGUAGGCGUUUCUGAGUCAAGUUAACACUAAUUAAGGAUUAUGAAGCAACAUCACAUACUAGGGAUAUUUAGAUAUUUUAUGAACUAAUUUUGACGUAAUGUUAUGUUUAACCACUCUACUAAUAUUUAUGUUUUAGUUUUUGAAUGUUUGAA